rnacentral:tRNA from 1 species
UGGUGUGUGGCCUACUGGUUAGCGCUUCGGACUUGUAACCGGAGGGUUGCCGGUUCGAACCCCGACCAGUAG